GACGAACGCUGGCGGCGUGCCUAAUACAUGCAAGUCGAACGCAGUGGGGACGGGUGAGUAACACGUGGGUAACCUCCCCAUCAGAGGGGAUAACACUUGGAAACAGGUGCUAAACCGAUACUGAUGGAUGGACCCGCGGUGCAUUAGCUAGUUGGUGAGGUAACGGCUCACCAAGGCCACGACUCCUAGCCGACCGUCGAGGUGAGUCGGCCACACUGGGACUGGGACACGGCCCGGACUCCUACGGGAGGCAGCAGUAGGGAAUCUUCGACAAUGGACGAAAGUCUGACCGAGCAAGGCCGCGUGAGUGAGGAGGGUUUUCGGAUCGUAAGACUCUGUGGUUAGAGAGGCGGUAUCUAACCAGAAAGCCACGGCUAACUACGUGCCAGCAGCCGCGGUAAUAC
rnacentral:rRNA from 1 species